rnacentral:pre_miRNA from 1 species
UCCAAAUGAUACUUCUUCUAACAUUGCUGCACUGGCAACACUUUAACCAACCAACCAAUGUUGCCAACAGUGCAGCAAUGUUAGAAGAAGUAUCAUUUGGAA